AUAGAAAGCAUGCCUUGCUUCUAUUAUUAUUAUUAUUUUUGAUUCAAUCAGCACCCUGCACAAACGACGAAACAUCUUUUUGAACUACUUUAUUACAAGAAUUAUUAUUCCAACACAUACAUCAUACCACAAAGUUUAAGCCAAAUAAAAAGGGGUAUGACGUUGUUGGCAGUUGAGAAAUUGAAAUCAGAGAAAUACCAGAGAGGACCUUAUAUACAGUAUACUGAUGAUGAUGAUGAUUGUGGAUGGGAUGGGAUGAGAUGAGAUAGAUGCAAUCUGCAACAAGACAUGAUGAUGAUGAUGAGUAGGAGCUGGGCUGUCUCUGGGUAGCUGCCGAAAAAGUUGAAUUUUGAACUUGCUUUUCUUUCUUUGAUAAAUAAUGGUGAGUUUGAUGGGCAUUAAAUGGGCACCCAGAAGAAGAAAAAAGACACUGAAACAAAGAAAGAAAGAGAGAGUGGUCAGAAAGAAGAACUCAGAUCAGAUGCCUUCAAAGUGUUACUGCUCC
rnacentral:lncRNA from 1 species